rnacentral:rRNA from 1 species
UACGUAGGGUGCGAGCGUUAAUCGGAAUUACUGGGCGUAAAGCGUGCGCAGGCGGUAAGUUAAGUCUGAUGUGAAAGCCCCGGGCUCAACCUGGGAAUGGCAUUGGAAACUGGCUUGCUGGAGUGUGGCAGAGGGGGGUGGAAUUCCGCGUGUAGCAGUGAAAUGCGUAGAGAUGUGGAGGAACACCGAUGGCGAAGGCAGCCUUCUGGGCCAACACUGACGCUCAUGCACGAAAGCGUGGGGAGCAAACAGG